ensembl:snoRNA
CCUGCCCCAGAGGCAUUGCAAGUAUGGCUGCAGUAUCACGUGAGUCAGUGGGUGUCAGAGAGGAGAGAGGUUAUAGCUACACUCAGUGUUCUGAACUCUGAACAUCUGAAUGAUUAGUAGGCUAAUAUU